CUGGGAAAUCAUCUUUGUGCAUUAUCAUGUUAAUAUACACAGCACAUUAAUAAUAAUAAGAUGAAAUUAUUUGGUUCCUGACCCUGAACCAAUUGUAAGGGGAGAAUAUAAUAUACUCUCGUGUAUAACAUAUAUCAAAUUGAUACAGAUAACUUUGUUCUCAUAAGCAAUAAUUUAGCUAUUAAAUGGAAGCACUCAAUAAAUUAUUUUGCUAAACCAACUAUGAUGUAAACC
rnacentral:lncRNA from 1 species